AAGCCCCAGUAAACGGCGGCCGUAACUAUAACGGUCCUAAGGUAGCGAAAUUCCUUGUCGGGUAAGUUCCGACCCGCACGAAAGGCGUAAUGAUUUGGGAACUGUCUCAACAAUGCACCCGGUGAAAUUGAAAUGCCAGUGAAGAUGCUGGCGACCCGCGCCAGGACGGAAAGACCCCAUGGAGCUUUACUCUAGCUUGGCACUGGAGUUUGGUAUUUAAUGUACAGGAUAGGUGGGAGACUGAGAAGUAUGGACGUCAGUCUGUAUGGAGUCAAUGUUGGGAUACCACUCUUUAAAUACUGAAUUUCUAACUCGCACCCAUGAAUCUGGGUGGAGGACAAUGCCUGGUGGGGAGUUUGACUGGGGCGGUCGCCUCCGAAAGGGUAUCGGAGGCGCUCAAAGGUUCCCUCAGAAUGGACGGAAACCAUUCGAAGAGUGCAAAGGCAGAAGGGAGCUUAACUGCGACACCGACGGGUGGAGCAGAUACGAAAGUAGGACUUAGUGAUCCGGUGGUAUGAAAGUGGGAUUGCCAUCGCUCAACGGAUAAAAGCUACCCUGGGGAUAACAGGCUUAUCACUCCCAAGAGUUCACAUCGACGGAGUGGUUUGGCACCUCGAUGUCGGCUCAUCGCAUCCUGGGGCUGUAGCAGGUCCCAAGGGUUGGGCUGUUCGCCCAUUAAAGCGGUACGCGAGCUGGGUUCAGAACGUCGUGAGACAGUUCGGUCCCUAUCCGGCGCGGGCGUAGGAUAAUUGAAGGGAGCCAUCCCUAGUACGAGAGGACCGGGACGGACGGGCCCCUGGUGUAUCGGUUGAUCUGCCAAGGUCAUAGCCGAGUAGCCAAGCCCGGAUUGGAUAAACGCUGAAAGCAUCUAAGCGUGAAGCCAACCCUAAGAUGAGUUAUCCAGGUAAGUAAUUACGAGAGACCCCUUGAAGACUACGAGGUUGAUAGGGCAGAGGUGGAAGUGCAGUGAUGUAUGUAGCUGACUGUUACUAAUAGGUCGAAAGCUUAACCUG
rnacentral:rRNA from 2 species